rnacentral:rRNA from 1 species
CAAUAGCGUAUAUUUAAGUUGUUGCAGUUAAAAAGCUCGUAGUCGGAUUUUGGCUGAGAACGAUCGGUCCGCCGUUAGGUGUGCACUGAUUGGUCUCAGCUUCCUGGUGAGGAGGUGUGCUUCACGGCCACUUAGUCACCGUGGUUACUUUGAAAAAAUUAGAGUGUUCAAAGCGGGCUUACGCUUGAAUAUAUUAGCAUGGAAUAACACCAUAGGACUCCUGUCCUAUUUCGUUGGUCACGGGACGGGAGUAAUGAUUAAGAGGAACAGUUGGGGGCAUCCGUAUUUCAUUGUCAGAGGUGAAAUUCUUGGAUUUAUGAAAGACGAACUUCUGCGAAAGCAUUUGCCAAGGAUGUUUUCAUUGA